rnacentral:sRNA from 1 species
UUACUAUCGGGACCUUCCGCAUCCUGCUGAUGUUUUGUUGCUUAGAUAUGAAUGGCUGAGCGGAGGCUGUAAAACCUGGCACUCUGCUUGGGUAUGAGGUUCUUCCUGCCAUCCUGCCAUCAUUUGUUUUUUAUGUUUUGUCGCCAAAAGUGACCUUGAGGAACCCUGGGAGCUCAGGAAGGAAGGAGCGCCCAGAAGCAGGGACAGGGAGCUGGUUGGGGAGGACCAGAAAUCAGGUUAUCAAUACUCUGGCUGACCUUCGUCAUCGUGGGACUGACUUUGGUGGAAGUCUUUGGUUACUUAUCAUUACUGUGUUUCGAGAAGUUAUAAAUUUGCCAUCUCCCUCGCACAAGUUACCUUUCUGUGUCUUUCCUGAAGACUAUCUUCCUCUCAAAAUGGACAUGAUGGAUCCACGGAUGUACAGCAGAGAGCCAGGAGGUCCAACCGCCGUAGACAGGAAGGAAUUAAAAUUGUCCUGGAAGCCAUCUUUACUUUAUGGAGACAGGUGAAACCAAAGUUCGAGCUAAAAUCCAUAAGAUGAAGGUGA